AUUGAACGCUGGCGGCAGGCCUAACACAUGCAAGUCGAGCGAGCGGCGGACGGGUGAGUAAUGUAUGGGGCUCUGCCCGAUAGAGGGGGAUAACUACUGGAAACGGUGGAUAAUACCGCAUACUAUCGGAAGAAACCAUAUGGGAUUAGCUAGUAGUUUGGGUAAAGUCUCACCUAGGCGACGAUCUCUAGCUGGUCUGAGAGGAUGAUCAGCCACACCUGGACUGAGACACGGCCCAGACUCCUACGGGAGUCAGCAGUGGGUAAUAUUGCACAAUGGGCGCAAGCCUGAUGCAGCCAUGCCGCGUGUAUGAAGAAGGCCUUAGUGUUGUAAAGUACUUUCAGCGGGGAGGCGUUACCCGCAGAAGAAGCACCGGCUAACUCCGUGCCAGCAGCCGCGGUAAUAC
rnacentral:rRNA from 1 species